AUUGAACGCUGGCGGCAUGCCUUACACAUGCAAGUCGAACGGUAACGCGGGGCAUCCUGGCGACGAGUGGCGAACGGGUGAGUAAUGUAUCGGAACGUGCCCAGUUGUGGGGGAUAACUGCUCGAAAGAGCAGCUAAUACCGCAUACGACCUGAGGGUGAAAGCGGGGGAUCGCAAGACCUCGCGCAAUUGGAGCGGCCAAUAUCAGAUUAGGUAGUUGGUGGGGUAAAGGCCUACCAAGCCUACGAUCUGUAGCUGGUUUGAGAGGACGACCAGCCACACUGGGAAUGAGCCACGGCCCAGACUCCUACGGGAGGCAGCAGUGGGGAAUUUUGGACAAUGGGGGAAACCCUGAUCCAGCCAUGCCGCGUGCGGGAAGAAGGCCUUCGGGUUGUAAACCGCUUUUGUCAGGGAAGAAAUCCUUUGAACUAAUACUUCGGAGGGAUGACGGUACCUGAAGAAUAAGCACCGGCUAACUACGUGCCAGCCGCCGUAAAAC
rnacentral:rRNA from 1 species